GAUUUUGUUUGAAGGUGGGUUGUACUAUAGAAAAGCAAUGUGUAAGAGGAUUUUAAGUUUGAAAAUAAAGGUUUUGUAAUGGUAAAAAUUAGUGUAGUAAUGAAUGAGUGUUAAUUGUGUAAUGGUUUAUACUAGGUGGAGAAAAUAAAUAAGAUGGAAAUUGGUGUAGGUUUUUUUUUGGAAAAAUUGGUAUAAGUUUUUUUUUGUGUGGAGAAAUUGGAUAAUGAGUGGAUAAUAUGUACAGUGUGUGUGGGAAAU
rnacentral:lncRNA from 1 species